rnacentral:siRNA from 1 species
UAUGAAAUAUGGUAUGAUGUGUA